rnacentral:rRNA from 1 species
UAACUUUUAACAAUGGAUCUCUAGGCUCUCACAUUGAUGAAGAACACAGUGAAAUGUGAUAAGUAAUGUGAAUCGCAGAAUUCAGUGAAUCAUCAAAUCUUUGAACGCACCUUGCACCUUUUGGUAUUCCAAAAGGUACACCUGUUUGAGUGUCAUGA